rnacentral:rRNA from 1 species
CGGCGGACGGGUGAGUAACACGUGGGUAACCUACCUAUAAGACUGGGACAACUUCGGGAAACCGGAGCUAAUACCGGAUAAUAUGUUGAACCGCAUGGUUCAAUAGUGAAAGAUGGUUUUGCUAUCACUUAUAGAUGGACCCGCGCCGUAUUAGCUAGUUGGUGAGGUAACGGCUCACCAAGGCAACGAUACGUAGCCGACCUGAGAGGGUGAUCGGCCACACUGGAACUGAGACACGGUCCAGACUCCUACGGGAGGCAGCAGAG